CUAGAAACUGUGAUCAAUACCGACCUGGGGUCCUGAGGCACGUAAGGAGGCCCAUCUCCUAUCAGCAACGCUCCAAAAAUGUGUCUUUGAGCAUGUGCAAAACAUGGCUGCUGUUCCAAUUAAGUUUUGUACGGACUAAUGAUAGUCCUACCUUUAGAGGAUUGGUCUCAUUUGUAGAUGAACAAAUGAUGUUACCUUCUGUGCUCACUCUUGUGAUAUAAAGCAAGAAGCCUUUCCAGAAGUGACUGGGGAAAUACACAAGCAAAUCAGCUCCAGAUACUGUGCUAGGACCUGCAUUCUGCAACUAGAGAAUGGUGAUGGGAGAUUAAAAAAAAUAAUCUGCACUCACAAAAAAUAGUAUUCUAAUGGAAGCGGUUGAACGAAAUGGCUUAUACUCACCCAAACAGCUCUACCUGUGCAUCAACCUUGAGUGGCACCUGC